rnacentral:tRNA from 432 species
GGAGGAUUAGCUCAGCUGGGAGAGCAUCUGCCUUACAAGCAGAGGGUCGGCGGUUCGAGCCCGUCAUCCUCCACCA